AGAACUUCCUAAUCCUGAACAAAAAGCAUUGGCUGAAUUCAAACAGAUGGUUCAAGAAGCUCUUAACAAGCAUGAAUUCACUGCCCCUCCUCCUCCGCCGCCGGCAAAGGAAGAGGAUGAGAAGAAAGCAGCCGUUCCCGCCGAGGCACCGGAGGCAGAGCCAGUUACAGAGGCCGCAGCGCCGGCGACACCUGAUCCAGUGAUAGAGACAGAAUCGGAACCGGUGGCCGAGAAGAAAGUUGAAACAGAGAAAUUGGAGAAAACAGAGGAGAAAGUAACUCCACCGGAAACUGAAGCAACUCCGGCGCCGGCAGCAGAGACACCAUCUGAGCCAUCGGAGACAGAGAAGGUGGAGGCAGUCGAGGAAAUCAAGGAAACCAUUGUUGAAGUACCGGCUGCGGUUGCUGUGAUGGCCUCCACGGAGGAGCCACCGGCUGCAGAGGCAGAGGAACCGAAAACAGAGCAAACCCCACCAGCAGCACCAGAAGAAGUAUCCAUAUGGGGAAUACCCCUUUUAGCAGAUGAGAGAAGUGAUGUAAUCCUUCUCAAGUUUCUGCGAGCGAGAGAUUUCAAGGUGAAAGAAGCUUUCACCAUGUUGAAAAGUGUUGUCGCAUGGAGAAAAGAAUUCAAGAUUGAUGAACUCUUGGAUGAGAAAGAAUUAGGACAAGGACUUGAAAAAGUUGUUUACAAUCACGGAGUAGACAAAGAA
rnacentral:misc_RNA from 1 species